rnacentral:rRNA from 1 species
AUUCCGGUUGAUCCUGCCGGAGGCCAUUGCUAUCGGAGUCCGAUUUAGCCAUGCUAGUCGCACGAGUUUAGACUCGUGGCGAAAAGCUCAGUGACACGUGGCCAUAACUACCCUAUGGACGGAACUAACCUCGGGAAACUGAGGCUAAUGUCCGUAUACGGCUCUCACGCUGGAACGCCGUAGAGCCGGAAACGCCCCGGCGCCAUAGGAUGUGGCUGCGGCCGUAUUAGGUUGACGGUGGGGUAACGGCCCACCGUGCCAAUAAUCGGUAUGGGUCAUGAGAGUGAGAACCCAGAGACGGUAUCUGAGACAAGAUACCGGGCCCUACGGGGCGCAGCAGGCGCGAAACCUUUACACUGCACGACAGUGCGAUAAGGGGACUCCGAGUGCGAGGGCAUACAGUCCUCGCUUUUCUGUACCGUAGGGUGGUACAGGAACAAGUGCUGGGCAAGACCGGUGCCAGCCGCCGCGGUAAUACCGGCAGCACGAGUGAUGGCCGAUAUUAUUGGGCCUAAAGCGUCCGUAGCU